AUCUCGGCGAUAACGGCUGUCGCGGUCCAGUGGCGACGAGCGAUGACGUACGCGGCACACGAUGGAAAGAUGCCUGCAGGCACAGCAGCGCAUGCGCCGACGGCUGAAAAUUGCGCUUCAGUUUUGCUCUAAGAAGGGGGCCGCCGAGUGACCCGCCAGUCAUCUUGUGUUUGACGCCGCAGGCGCCCGUGUCUCAGCAUCUUAUACUACACAUGCUUCUGCCGCGAUUGUCGACGUUAGGCGCGGCGUACACCACUUCACCGACCCCCGAAACAGCCAUGGGUUCCGCCGCUGCCUUUCUGUUGUGCUUCGAAGCCUUAAGUCGCGGCGCUGCUCCACUUGUGGCCAGGACUUUUGCAAUUGCGGUCACGGGACUCUGUUUUGCUCCGGAAUGCUCGCACGGCCCGUUAGAGCUCGCGGAAUGUGCGUGUGCGACGCGCGGCGGCCAUUCCAUCCGUUCUCCUGCACGAGCUGUCGGGUCUAACGCCGACGACGCCCUGCCGACAAGUCUGAAGUGGCGCCUGCCGCGGUCUUUUCUUUUGUGCGCGUGUUCCCACCAACGAACUGGACGUGUCACUUAAACCGAGAGACAACGAGGCAACUGUCGUCGCCAUGUGCUUCAACUACCUUGCGAGGUGAAGUUCGUGCAACCAAGCGACCGUGGCGCUACCCUGAGGGCCAACGGAGCAACUGUCGUCGCCGCGUCGCAUCGGCAUCUCAGUCUCCGAGGUGCGAGUGUUUAGCUUGCGAGGGCGGCGCGGCCAUUAACUUCCUCAUCAAAACUGAUUGACAACAUUGGCAAAUUGUGUGCAGUUAACUGUAUAGUGCUUCAUUAGGCACGAGCUUCCUCGGACGGCCGCAGCCACAUCGGGUCGUCGCCGUGACGGAAGCGGAGAGGACGGGGUGGGGCGACUCCAUAGCUUCAGGCUGAGCUAACACUAGGCAGGGUAGCCGACGCAGCGCAGGCCACAGCUGGCAGGAGUCCUCUCUCUCUCGUUUGCGACACGGCCAUCGACCCGUUCCGAUUGCCUAUCGCUUCCCGGCCACAAUUUCGCGUCCACGCGCGCGAAAGGGCGCGAAAUGUGGAACCGCGGAAGUCGGUGGCAUCCGGAAUUAGCGUCAGGCUAACCCAGUGGCGUAUUACUUCCAGUUCGUCCAGCUACGCUGAAGCACGGACGUUGCCUUCGGUCCGCAGCGCGGCGCGUUGCGGCCAAAGUACGCAUCCCAGGCCUCCGCUUCUGGUCCACUCCAGCAACGUCCCUGCGCCCUGCCGUGUUCCAGACGCAUGGCGUGCAGCGUCUGUCGACCGACCGUCUGUGCACUUCUGCACCAGCCUCACAGCUACAUGUUUCCUGGCGAGUGAAGAAACCUGCACGACCCGCCCUGCAGUAUGUUGA